rnacentral:tRNA from 1 species
ACCAGCAUGGCUGAGUGGUUAAGGCAUUGGACUUAAGAUCCAGUGGGGACUUUUGACUGGGGGGAUAUUUCUCCUUGGUGUUAGCUUUUAGACCCAAUCAAUGUGUUUCUGUGUGGAUUCAAACUCCACUCUUGGUA